AUUGAACGCUGGCGGCAGGCCUAACACAUGCAAGUCGAGCGAGCGGCGGACGGGUGAGUAAUGUAUGGGGACUGCCCGAUAGAGGGGGAUAACUACUGGAAACGGUAGCUAAUACCGCAUACUAUCGGAUAACCCAUAUGGGAUUAGCUAGUAGGUGGGGUAAGGGCUAACAUAGGCGACGAUCCUUAGCUGGUCUGUGAGGAUGAUCAGCACCACUGGAACUGAGAACCGGCCCAGACUCCUCCGGAGGCAGCAGGGGGGAAUAUUGCACAAUGAGCGCAAGCCUGAUGCAGCAAUGCCGCUUGGAUGAAGAAGGCCCUAGGGUUUUAAAGUACUUUCAGUCGGGAGGCGUUACCGACAGAAGAAGCACCGGCUAACUCCGUGCCAGCAGCCGCGGUAAUUC
rnacentral:rRNA from 1 species